AGUACAGACGAGUUUGAUCCUGGCUCAGAUUGAACGCUGGCGGCAGGCUUAACACAUGCAAGUCGAGCGGAGACUUCGGUCUUAGCGGCGAACGGGUGAGUAAUACCUAGGAAUCUGCCUAUUAGUGGGGGAUAACGAAUCGAAAGGUUCGCUAAUACCGCAUACGUCCUACGGGAGAAAGAGGGGGAUCUUCGGACCUCUUGCUAAUAGAUGAGCCUAGGCCGGAUUAGCUAGUUGGUAGGGUAAAGGCCUACCAAGGCGACGAUCUGUAGCUGGUCUGAGAGGAUGGCCAGCCACACUGGAACUGAGACACGGUCCAGACUCCUACGGGAGGCAGCAGUGGGGAAUAUUGGACAAUGGGGGCAACCCUGAUCCAGCCAUGCCGCGUGUGUGAAGAAGGCCUUCGGGUUGUAAAGCACUUUAAGCGAGGAGGAAGGUCACUGUACUAAUAUUAUAGUGAAUUGACGUUACUCGCAGAAUAAGCACCGGCUAACUCUGUG
rnacentral:rRNA from 1 species